rnacentral:rRNA from 1 species
GAUGAACGCUGGCGGCGUGCCUAAUACAUGCAAGUCGAGCGAACAGACGAGGAGCUUGCUCCUCUGACGUUAGCGGCGGACGGGUGAGUAACACGUGGAUAACCUACCUAUAAGACUGGGAUAACUUCGGGAAACCGGAGCUAAUACCGGAUAAUAUAUUGAACCGCAUGGUUCAAUAGUGAAAGACGGUUUUGCUGUCACUUAUAGAUGGAUCCGCGCCGCAUUAGCUAGUUGGUAAGGUAACGGCUUACCAAGGCAACGAUGCGUAGCCGACCUGAGAGGGUGAUCGGCCACACUGGAACUGAGACACGGUCCAGACUCCUACGGGAGGCAGCAGUAGGGAAUCUUCCGCAAUGGGCGAAAGCCUGACGGAGCAACGCCGCGUGAGUGAUGAAGGUCUUCGGAUCGUAAAACUCUGUUAUUAGGGAAGAACAAAUGUGUAAGUAACUAUGCACGUCUUGACGGUACCUAAUCAGAAAGCCACGGCUAAAUACGUG